GUAAGGUCAAGUAGAAAAGGGCGCACGGUGAAUGCCUAGGCACUAAAAGCCGAUGAAGGACGUGACGAACUACGAAAAGCUUCGGGGAGCGGUAAGUACGCAGUGAUCCGGAGAUGUCCGAAUGGGGGAACCCAAUGCAGCGAUGCAUUAUUGGUUGAUGAAUAGAUAGUCAAUCAAAGGAAUACGCAGUGAACUGAAACAUCUAAGUAGCUGCAGGAAGAGAAAGAAAAAUCGAUUUCCUUAGUAGCGGCGAGCGAAGAGGAAAGAGCCCAAACCAAGUGAUUUAUCAUUUGGGGUUGUAGGACUGCGACGUGGCAGCGUGAGCGAUAGCAGAAUUAUCUGGGAAGGUAAGCCAGAGAGGGUGAGAGCCCCGUAAGCGAAAUUGCAAGCGCGCCUAGCAGAAUCCUGAGUAGGCCGGGACACGAGAAAUCCCGGUUGAAACCGCGAGGACCAUCUCGCAAGGCUAAAUACUAAUUAGUGACCGAUAGUGAACCAGUACCGUGAGGGAAAGGUGAAAAGAACCCCGGAAGGGGAGUGAAAUAGAACCUGAAACCGUGUGUCUACAAGUAGUCAAAGCACAUUAAAGUGCAAUGGCGUGCCUUUUGUAGAAUGAACCGGCGAGUUACGUUAUCUAGCGAGGUUAAGUCAGAAAAGACGGAGCCGGAGCGAAAGCGAGUCUGAAUAGGGCGAGAAGUUAGGUGACGUAGACCCGAAACCAAGUGACCUACCCAUGACCAGGCUGAAGGCGUGGUAAAACGCGCUGGAGGGCCGAACCCACGUAAGUUAAAAAUUGCGGGGAUGAGUUGUGGGUAGCGGUGAAAUUCCAAACGAACUUGGAGAUAGCUGGUUCUCUCCGAAAUAGCUUUAGGGCUAGCCUCGUGGAGAGGAUAAUGGAGGUAGAGCUCUGUUUGGACUAGGGGCCCGUCAGGGGUUACUGAAUCCAGAUAAACUGCGAAUUCCAGAUAUCCAUACACGGGAGUCAGACUGCGAGUGAUAAGAUCCGUAGUCGAAAGGGAAACAGCCCAGAUCACCAGUUAAGGUCCCAAAAUCUAUGCUAAGUGGAAAAGGAUGUGGAGUUGCGCAGACAACUAGGACGUUGGCUCAGAAGCAGCCAUCAUUCAAAGAGUGCGUAAUAGCUCACUAGUCGAGUGACGCUGCGCCGAAAAUUUACCGGGGCUAAGCAUAGUACCGAAACUGUGGAUGUACGUAAGUACGUGGUAGGAGAGCGUUCUAAGUGCGGCGAAGGUUAACCGAGAGGAUAAUUGGAGCGCUUAGAAGUGAGAAUGCCGGUAUGAGUAGCGAAAGAUAGGUGAGAAUCCUAUCCGCCGAAAGACUAAGGUUUCCUGGGGCAGGCUCGUCCGCCCAGGGUAAGUCGGGACCUAAGGCAAGGCCGAAAGGCGUAGUCGAUGGAUAACAGGUAGAGAUUCCUGUACUGUGUUCAAUCGUUAAGAGCGAAGGAGGGACGCAGGAGGUGAAGCACGCAUCGCGAUGGAACGAUGUUCAAGCGACAAGUGCGGUUAAGAGUCAAAUGCUUCUAACCAGCAACACGAGUCGUGAUGAGGAGCGAAAUAAAAGUAGCGAAGGUGUGGUAGUCACACUGCCAAGAAAAGCUUCUAGCCAGAGAGAACAUACCCGUACCGCAAACCGACACAGGUAGUCGAGUGGAGAACACUAAGGUGAGCGAGAGAACUCUCGUUAAGGAACUCGGCAAAAUGACCCCGUAACUUCGGAAGAAGGGGUGCUGGCCAUGAGAAUGGUUAGCCGCAGUGAAUAGGCCCAAACAACUGUUUAUCAAAAACACAGGUCUCUGCAAAAUCGUAAGAUGACGUAUAGAGGCUGACACCUGCCCGGUGCUGGAAGGUUAAGAGGAGAGCUUAGCGCAAGCGAAGGUUUGAAUUGAAGCCCCAGUAAACGGCGGCCGUAACUAUAACGGUCCUAAGGUAGCGAAAUUCCUUGUCGGGUAAGUUCCGACCUGCACGAAAGGUGUAAUGAUUUGGGCACUGUCUCAACGAGAGACUCGGUGAAAUUAUAAUACCCGUGAAGAUGCGGGUUACCCGCGACAGGACGGAAAGACCCCAUGGAGCUUCACUGUAGCUUGAUAUUGAGUAUCUUUUAAACAUGUACAGGAUAGGUAGGAGCCAAGGAAAGCAGGACGCUAGUUUUGCUGGAGGCAAUGUUGGGAUACUACCCUUGUUUGAAGGAUGCUCUAACCUCGACCUGUAAGCCAGGCCAGGGACAGUGUCAGGUGGGCAGUUUGACUGGGGCGGUCGCCUCCUAAAG
rnacentral:rRNA from 1 species